ACGGGAGGCAGCAGUGGGGAAUCUUGCGCAAUGGGCGAAAGCCUGACGCAGCGACGCCGCGUGGGGGACGAAGGCCUUUCAGGUCGUAAACCCCUUUCGGCAGGGACGAAGCGAUCUCGUGACGGUACCUGCAGAAGAAGCCUCGGCUAACUACGUGCCAGCAGCCGCGGUAACACGUAGGAGGCGAGCGUUGUCCGGAAUCAUUGGGCGUAAAGAGCGCGCAGGCGGCCCGGCAAGUCGGGUGUGAAAUCCCGGGGCUCAACCCCGGGACUGCAUCCGAUACUGCCGGGCUAGAGGUAGGUAGGGGAGAUCGGAAUUCCUGGUGUAGCGGUGAAAUGCGCAGAUAUCAGGAGGAACACCGGUGGCGAAGGCGGAUCUCUGGGCCUUACCUGACGCUCAGGCGCGAAAGCUAGGGGAGCGAACAGGAUUAGAUACCCUGGUA
rnacentral:rRNA from 1 species